rnacentral:rRNA from 1 species
AUUGAACGCUGGCGGAAUGCUUUACACAUGCAAGUCGAACGGCAGCACGGGGGCAGCCCUGGUGGCGAGUGGCGAACGGGUGAGUAAUACAUCGGAACGUGCCCGGUCGUGGGGGAUAACGUAGCGAAAGUUACGCUAAUACCGCAUACGAUCUGAGGAUGAAAGCGGGGGACCUUCGGGCCUCGCGCGAUCGGAGCGGCCGAUGUCAGAUUAGGUAGUUGGUGGGGUAAAGGCCUACCAAGCCGACGAUCUGUAGCUGGUCUGAGAGGACGACCAGCCACACUGGGACUGAGACACGGCCCAGACUCCUACGGGAGGCAGCAGUGGGGAAUUUUGGACAAUGGGCGCAAGCCUGAUCCAGCCAUUCCGCGUGCAGGACGAAGGCCUUCGGGUUGUAAACUGCUUUUGUACGGAACGAAAAGGCUCUGGCUAAUACCUGGAGCUCAUGACGGUACCGUAAGAAUAAGCACCGGCUAACUACGUG